CAUUUGGAUGCUUGGUACUCCAUUUUACUAUUGCUCUGUUCCGUGAUCCUCCACAAAUCUUCUUCGUGAUUGUGGAGCCCGGUCGUUUGGCGCGAUCCUAUGUGUGUGUGGAAACCUAAUGCUGAUCUUUAUAAGAUCUUCAGCAGAUGUUGAUCUCUUCUCCGAGCUAGCUCGAUCUGCAUUCAGGUGUUUUCAUGCAUUGCAUGAGCUGUUUUUAAAGGUUAUUAUUAUGCAUGUUUAGCUAGUUCUCGCAGCGAGGCAUAUUUGCGAUGCCAGUUUAGCUAGUACACGCAAGACGCAACAUUUCUUUAUAAACCUUGAUCGACCGAUGCUUGCCGCUGAUCGUGUAUGUCGAUCAUAUCCAGUGCCUCAUAGAUUUUACCGCCGGGUGUAACACUUCACGCGCGCACACAGUUCAGUUAUUUAGCAUCGUAAAUAUCACGAGUGGAUGACGACCCCUUUGUCAUGAAUUAAGACCUUAGCGUACCGAUCGAAGAGCUGAAAUCAAAGGGCAGUGCAUGUCCUUCGAGAGGAUAAAUGAAGGUCUGCACUUGAUGCAAAGUGACCACGUAUAUACAUGAACUUCUGCACAUGACUUGGCUCGGCUUCUUGAAAGGCCAAACGUUAGGCAAAAUGCGUGUAGUGAAAAGGGAGAGAGUAAUUGGAGUGAAAGACAAAGCUCCUCAAUAUAUUCUUGGAUCAGUUUGACUAAUUCACAUCUAAAUAUUUUUUAAGGAUGUCACAUCUAAGCUUUCACAAAUAUAUUUUUUGAAUAAAAAGAUAGAGCAUUUUUUACCUUAUGCAUUCAAAACGGGCGAAAAAACCCGGAUGACUAAAGUCAUUUACAUGAAGGUGAUGUUAACGCCGCACAAAGGAGUACAGCAUGCCAUCACCAGACCUAUUGGGGUACAGAUUUGGAGAUAGAUAAAAGGAAGAGAACAUGCAAAUUAAGUUGGAGUGAAGGCGUCUGCCCAAUCCAACAUGUACUGCCUAAUAUGCCGUGAGGCACGCAGGCUCCAUAACUUGAACAGCUCGGUGACUCCAGUGUAUACUUGGUGCUCUUGCCAAAAGGAUCCGUCGAGGACUCGAGCGUUCCUAGCGUUUCAAAGGGUGACCGCACACGCCGUGAAAAGAAUAUGCCACAUCUUGCCAUGCAGCGCCUUCGGCUGAUCUGAACAUAGAAAAAGUUCAGGUUCUGUGGAGGAUGUGGCCAACUCCUGCAAGCCUAAAUUGGACCAUAGCGCUUGUGCAAGUUUGCAUCUCAGCAAAAUAUGGCUCAUUGUCUCCGUAGCUGGGCAAAGAUCGCAGCCAUUGUGCGGAGCAAUUUUAUCCCAAUGCUUCCUCACCAUAUUAUAUUUUUGGUGUUGUGUCUGUCCCGGAGUGCAAUUCACACAAAGAUAUGAUAUUUGUGUGGUAUGAUUCUGUCCCAAAUGAGUCUGGCUGGCAUAUAGAGUUUGCCUCGAAAAGUGAAAAGCUUGUAGAAAUAAGUAGUGCUCAAGCUCUUGUCAACGAGCAGCAGCAUUCUGGUGUCAACUGUAUUAACCUGGGGCUGCACAUAGCUCAAGAUUUCAGCAAGGGCUGCCAGCUCUUGUGUGGCCGUGUAGGAUAGAUUUGGAUGAAGCUGGAGGCUCCAUUGGCCGUCUCUGAACUGUGAAGCAACUGUGCAAAACUGGGCCACAACGAAAGUAAAAAGCGUCGGGAAAACAACCAUAAGCCGACCACAGUCCAGCCAGAGGUCAUACCAGAAGGCAAUGCUUUGGCCGCCCCCAAGUUUGCAUUUGGAAGCUUCCAUAACCAUCUGCACUGUGGUUCUAAAACCUUUCCAAAUAGUAGUAUCUCGAUUAUGAGGGGUCCAUGAUAGUUCGUUCUGACAAUAUGUCUGUGCGAACCAACUGUAACACGGCACAUCCUCAUGCUGCAGUACUUUUGCCAUAAACUUGCAUACCAAUCCACAAAUAUAUAAUGUAGCAACAAGAAACAAAAAACUAGGACAAAAAAAAUAGACCACAAACAGAGUGGACAUCAUCUUAGACAUGAUAUAACUAUGUCACAUCUAGAUGUGUCCUCAACAGACCCUGAAUCAGUUUGAAUUGUACAUGCAUGACACACGGUGUGAAAAAGGGGCAUUAUUUGCAAAUUUGCUUGAAACAAUAACUGAUCUUAGCCAAUGAUUUAUACUAACUGUUAAAUCUAAACAUCCGCCGCCAAGAAAGCAAGGAAGGAAAACCCAAGCACCGGCCCCCGCCAGCGUGCCCGAUUGGUCGCACAAGAAACAAAGUGACCUCGCUAAACCGCCUCCCGCAGCCACUACUCUCCGUCCCUUCCACCCUCGGCAUAUCGGCCGCCAUGGUUAAGCGGUGCCUCCCCCUAGAGGACAAGCCCAACGUCAUGAACCAGGUACCCGCGCCUCCUCUCCACUUCGGGUAGGGCUUUUGCUUCGGCCUCUCCUCCUCCUCGCUCAUGGCCCUUUAUGGUACUGUCGGUUGUAGUCUGUGUCAUGACCUGGUCCCGAGAGUAGCCUUGAAUCUCUGUGCUUUAUGUGCCAGUCCUUGGAACUAUUGUUGGCACGCACAAUUGACGAUGAAAUACCAAGAAACAAUGCAUGCCAUAUAUUGUCAAAGUUAAUGGAGCUAGCUCAAAUUCGUUCGCACCGUCACAUGGGUUAUGGCAGGGAACCUGUUAUCAUCGUUUCUAUUCUUAUUUGUUGUUGAUGGUCUUGAUGUUAUUUUGAAACAGAAAGUGCAACAAGGACAGAUCACAUCAGUGUGUGUGUGUGUGUCCUAAGGCGCCGGGUAUAUCACACUUGCUAUUUGUGGAUGACACAUUACUUUUUUUUCAUGCCAUAACAGCAGAAGCUAUGGAAGUCAAAGAUGCUCCUGCUAUCUAUAGGAGGAAUACAUGCCAAUUUAUAGACCCCGCGAAGUGCUCUAUCUUAUGUGCGGAGGUGUUGACCUGCUGAUCAAGCUAUUGUAUCCCCGGCAUUGCAGGUGCAGAAUCUGCAUUUUGAGGAGCGCUACCUUGGGCUCCUUACACCCAAUGGGCACAUGUCUAAGGGCUGGUUCCAAAGCUUAUAGGAGCAACUCACUAAUAGGAUUCUAGUUUGGGGAGAAGGAGCAUCACCAGGAGGGAAAGAAAUAUUGAUUAAAGUUGUUGCACAGUCCUUGCCCACAUACUUGAUGGGGGUGUUCUGGCUACCGCGUAGUGUUUGCGAUGAUCGCACCCGAAUGGUCAGAAAUUUCUAGUGGGGGCGAAGGAAGGAAGAUGGAAGACGCACUAGAGGGCAUGGGAUACCAUGAUCAAGCCGAAGGAGCAGGGCUGGGUCAGUUUUCGGGACUCUUGCUUGUUCAACCAAGCGUUGCUCGCACGUCAAGCUUGGUGUCUUAUCUCUAACUCCGAUAGCUUGUGUGCGCGGGCACUAAAGGACUGAUACUACCCCGAUGGACGCCUUGAGGACACAGUCUUCUCCAGCAACACUUCAACAACUUGGCAGUCCAUCAUCCAUGACCUUUACCUCCUCAAGAAGGGCCCAAUCUGCCGCAUUAGUGACAAUGCGUCGGUCCACAUUUGGCGUGACCUGUGGAUUCCUCAUCCGCAGCCCGUGCCCAAUCUCCUUGCAAGGAUGACGCCGGCUUAGGAGAGUUAGCAAACUACUGGAUGGACAUGCAUGGAAAACGAAAGGUCGCGCUACUGCAACAACAUCCCCUGCAAAUAGAUGUGAUAAGAGUCUCUGAAAAUUAAUGCUUCUCCAUGGCAAGUGGAGGAUUGUAUUGGGCGCCUGAGCGGAAUGGAGCCUUUUCGGUGAAGAGCACUUAUCGCCUCGGCCUCAAUGAGUGUUUCCUGCCAUAUUCAGUCACAGCAAGCAGGGCACCAGACGGGUGACAUGCUGGGCACUUAUAUGGUGGUGCGAUGCUCCACCCAAAAUGCGUAUAUUUGUGUGGAAACUUGCAUCAAACUCGUUGGCCAGUUGGGCAAAUAAAAACCAGAACAUUGGAGAUCACUGAUGUGUGCCCAUUAUGUGCGAUGGAGCGGGAGGACACAUUCCAUGUUUUUUGUAGGUGCCCUUGAGCGGUGGAGCUCUGGCGAGCCAUGAAGAAACAUUUGAACCUGCUGGAACUUGCAACUGUGCGUCCAACGGGGGUGGAGUGGCUCUUUGAUGUCUUGCACAUGGUCGGCCCUAGCAUUCCAGAGGCCCUUGUGCGUACUGAGAAAAUGAGCCCUUACACUAUACUAGAUAAAAAAAUGCUCCCACACCUAUCAUGUACUCCCUCGGUAAACUAAUAUAAGAGCGUUUAGAUCACUAUUUUAGUAUGCUAAAUGCUCUUAUAUUAGUUUACGGAGGGAGUACACCGAAAAGUCAUUAUAAAAGCAAUUGUAAACUUCAUUAGCAAAUAUCGACUUCAUAUACCAUUGGCCACAUAUAUAUCAUAUGAUUAUAAGAGUAGGAUACACGCUCCAACAACCCAGAAACCUUAACUCUUAACUAAAUAUAUAUAUGACAUUGUUCACAAUUCUUGAUCCAAUUCUUUUUAGAGAAAAGGCCAAAGCCCGACUUUAUAAAUAAAGCCACAUGGCAGCGUCAUGAAUACCCAAGGUUCACACAGUCUCAGAAACACAAAGAGAAGUUAAAUAGGCCCAAAUUCCUAACGAAACAGGCAGCUGCCAAACACGGCACGCAGGCCGGGGAGAGAAGGAGACCUAAUCCCGCAAACUACAGCACCAGGCUUAUACGCCAUGAUUCGUCCCGGAGAUCUGAGAGGCUGAAGCCCGAAUUUUGGCGAUGAGCAGGUCCAGGGCGUCCCGAUCUGGCUCCUUAGUCAAUAAUCUCCACUGCUGCAAGAAUAUACAUGAUUUGAAAAGAACGUCAGCAGGCUUAGAUGGGAAGGUAAGUUCAAUAGUAAAUUUGUUUCUAAUGGUCCAAAGAGCCCAACAUAAGGCUCCCAAGCCAACCCAGAAUACCCUCUUGGUGACCCCUACCAGAGAUUUGGCUAGGGUUCUAGUGUCUGCGAAAGAGGAGGGAUCCCAGGAGACCCGAAGCCAUGAUCUUACGCAAGACCAAACUAAUUUGGCAAGAACACAAUUGAAAAAUAUGUGAUUAGAGUUUUCCAAAGCCCCACACAAGUUACAGAAUUCCGAGCCCGGCCCAUUGCGUUUUUUGAUCUGAUCAGCAGAAGGAAGGCGACCUCGGAAGGCUUGCCAGAGGAAAAUCUUAAUCUUAGGAGGGACCUUAGAUUUCCAAAUACAAGAGAAGCGAGCCGAAGUAGUACCACCAAUGAGUCUAGAAUACAAUGAUUUGACCAAGAAUACCCCAGAGGCCGUAAGUGGCCAAACCACAGAGUCAGCCUCCUCCGAGAGCACAGGGAAGAGGGCAGAAAGACUUUGCCAUUCUUCCAACUCUUCAGGAGACAGGGCCCGACGAAAAGCCAAGUCCCAAUUAUUAGCAGCCACCUCCGCGCUGGAGAUUUGCGGAUUGGGGCAAUAAGAGAACAGAACCGGAAAGCUAACAGCCAGGGGAGCAUCCUCGGACCACCAAUCUAACCAAAAACGAACAGCAGACCUAUUACCCACACAAAACUUAACGUGCUCCAAAAAAAUCGGCCGAACUUUAACAAGGGCUUUCCAAAACUGCGAACCACGCCGCGCAGGGGCAAACAUAGGGUUGGAGUUAGGAAAAUAUUUAGCCUUAAGAAUCGAAAACCACAGCACAUCGGCCCCAACCGUCAUAAUUUUCCACCACCACUUAAUGAGCAGACAAAUAUUCAUCACCCGAGUAUUAAUAAUGCCUAACCCCCCAAGGUUUUUAGGCUUGCACAUAAGCUGCCACUUAACCAACCUAUACUUCCUUUUAUUAUCUGCAGAAUUCCAAUAAAAGCCACCCCUAUGUUUGUCGAAGCCAGCAUGCACACCAUCCGUGAGACGGUAAAAGCCCAUAAGGAACAACGGGAUAGAGGAUAAGCAAGAAUUGAUUAGAGCCACUUUGCCAGCAUUGGUAUUAUACCUACCCCUCCAAGGAAGCACCCUAUUCCCCACUUUAGCAACCACCGGAGUGAAGUCUUUCGCGUGAAGCAGACCAGGAGAGAUAGGAAGACCUAAAUAUUUGAAAGGAAAGGAACCUAAGGAGCAGUUGAGGAGUCUGGCCACCCGCAAGGCCUCCGCCCGGUCAACCCCCAUCACCAUAACCUCACUCUUGGCGAAAUUGAUCUUAAGACCAGAAACAGCUUCGAAGCACAACAGAAUAAAUUUCAGAUUGGCAAUACAGGCAUUGUCCAACUCUACCAAGAUGAUUGUGUCAUCCGCAUAUUGCAAAUGAGAGACCCCUUCCGGAAGUAGGUGAGAGACCACAUGAAUAAUGUGUCCACAUCGAGCCGCUUUGGAGAGCAUACAGGAGAAAGCGUCAGCCACAAAGUUGAAAAGAACAGGGGAGGCCGGAUCCCCUUGGCGGAGGCCCCUCCCAUUCGCAAAGAAGUUGCUAAUAGCGCCAUUUACGGCAACUGCAAUGUGGCCACCCGAGACCAACUGCAUGAUACGGUGAACAUAGGCACCGUCGAACCCUUUGGCAAGAAGAAUCUGCCUGAGAAAAGACCAGCUAACCGAGUCAUACGUUUUUUCGAAGUCUAGUUUGAGAAUGAUAGCUUUGGAUUUCCGCACAUGGAGGUCAUGAACUAUCUCAUGAAGGGAGAGAAUGCCAUCUAAAAUAAAGCGCCCUUUGAUAAAAGCAGAUUGGAAGGGACUAAUAACUCUGUGAGCUACCGGAGACAGCCGGUUCGCAAAUCCUUUGGAAGGGAACUUGGCAAAGUUGUUAAUCAACGCUAUAGGCCAGAAUUGGGAAAUGACAUCAGCACCCUUAACCUUAGGGAUCAGGGAUAUAACAACAUAGUUCAGGCGAGAGAUGUCGACAGUACCAAGACAAAAACCCUGAAUAACGUUACACACCAACUGUUUCAACUGGGGCCAAAAUUUCCGAAAGAAAGGGAUGGAGAAGCCAUCAGGCCCGGAAGCAGCAUUAGUAUUGGCAGAAUUAACCACAUCCCAGAUUUCCUGAUCGGAGAGCGGAAUCAUCAAGGAAGCAUUCUCCUCAGGAGAAAUUUUAAGACCAGAACUCCAGAGGUGGGGGGAGAUGGACAGGCCCGAUGGAGGUUUAGCCCCUAACAGAGACGAAAAGAAGUCCACCACGUGAGCCAUAAUCACAGAUUGGUCUGUAGAGCGCAUACCAUUAAUCAAUAGGCUAUUAAUCUCAUAACGCCUACGCCUACCGUUUGCAAUCGCAAAGAAAUAAGCAGUAGGAGCGUCUCCUUUGAGAGUCCAAUUAAGGGUGCCCCUCCGACGCCAGUAAAUCUCAGCCUGAUGAUGCAGCUGCAGAAGAGCGGCCUCCAGAUUAUAGCGAACAGCCCAACCAUCAUCCGAGAGUCCAAUAGAGUCCGCAGUACGAUCCAGCUCCAGGACUGAUUUUCAAGGAAGGCUUUGGAGCGGCGAUCCUCCGCCGCACGGUUACGCGACCAGCCUCUAAGAAAUUUUCGUAAAGCAUAGGCACAUGACUGCCAAUCAUCCAGAGGGCCAAAAGAGUGGGGGUUGUGAGAGAGGGAUUGGGAGAUUUUCGCCGCAACCAUGUCAACAAAGCCAUCAACAGACAGCCAAGAAGCAUCAAACUGAAAUCUAGUCGGAGGUCUAUUGCGAAUGGAACCAUCAUCCAGAAUCAAGGGGGUGUGGUCUGACCACACAAUACAUUUAGCUACAAGAGAGGACCUAGGAAACAAGGCAUCCCAACUGGGACAUAGGAAGACACGAUCAAGCACGGAUCUGAUAGGGUUCGCCUGAUGAUUAGACCAAGUAAAGCGGGCUCCCCCCUGAGGAAGCUCCCGAAUGGCGUUGACACUAAUAAAGUCGUUAAAAGCAUUGGCUAAAGACCAGGAAAAAUUAUCAUUAUUCUUGUCAAGAGGGCAUCGCAGAAGAUUAAAGUCUCCCCCAAUCACCGUCGGGAGAGAACAGGACUCAAGCUUGAUCGAAAGUUCAUCAAGGAAAAGGUGCGAAAAGGAGUGAUCCGUGGGCCCAUAAACAACUAUAAAUUCACAGAGGGCAUUCAUAGAUCUAUGCGAGAGAACAACACUAGCCCAAUAAAACCCAUGAUCAAAAGCAACAAAGUCAAAAAUAUCCUUAUUAGAACUGAUCAGAAUCCCACCAGAGUGGCCCGAAGCCGGUAAAGAUUGCCACUGAAAUCUAUCCAUACCCACGAUAGCAGAAAGCUCACUGGGGGUAAAGGAAUCCUUAAACCUUUCAACCAGCCCCACAAAGUCAAUAGAGUUAGAAUGAACCAAAUCUUUCAGUUGGUCACGGCGCCCCCUAGCACCGAACCCUCUAAUAUUCCAGAAUAAGGCCCUCAUUUAUACGAAAGGUUCUUGAUACGGAGGCUCGACCUGCUGGGGGCCACACAGGUUUUAGAUCGUUUAUUAGUACCCCUCUUAGCAAGGCAGGAUGAGGAUGAGGGCUGGCCACUACCAGCACCCGAAGCCUCCCCCACAACACAACCAGCAUCCGCCACCCGCGAGGCAACAGCCUCUUUGGCUUUCGCAAUGGUAGCUUGGGCCAAUUCAUUAGCCCGAAUAAUAGCAAGGAGCGAACUGGGAGAGCCAACAGAAGUAUCAACCACCAAACCCACGUCCGACAGAAGCUACAACUCCAACUCUAGCAGUCCAACUCCAACCAUAAACGUGCAUCAACAAAUAUCAUGCGUUUGUUUUUCACCUGAAAUGUCGCAACUAGGUUUCGCUACUAGGAGGAAGACGAUACAAUUAACCGAUCUUCUUAAUAGGCCUGGUCUACUUCUCUGCGUACUAUUUUUUUUCUACACAUAUAUAAUACACAUACCUGUAGAGGGUAUGUGCCACUACCUGGGCUGGGCCCUAGGUCCCCCCACCCGCGUCGAAGCUUCCUGCCGUUUCUUGCUCAGCUGUGAAGCGUCACUAUCGCCCUCAAGCAGGGGCGGAUCUGGAACUAAUGUUACCUUGAUGCACUACUUAACUAUGACAUAAAAUUUUCAAGCAACAAUGAACUAAUAAAGAUGUGUUUCAUAACUUUUAACAUGAAUUACCAGAUAUAAUAGACGCCGAUUUAUAAAAACAAAAGGUAAUAGUCAAACUGCUUAAUAUAGUGUGACCAAAUUACUUGAAAAUGAUGUCAUGGAUACCUAAUUGUGAAUGUGAUGGACUGAUGGUGCCGUUCUUUUGAGAAGAAACUGGUCCAUACUACCUGCAUUGAAUAAUUAAAACUAGUGAGAAAUCAAAAUUGUGAAGCCAAUGAAGUAUACGUAAUUACAACUUCAAACAGUAGCUGAUGCCCCAUGUUUUGCCAGAACACAUACAUUUAAAUAUAUUUCAAUAAGGUUUAACUUACUAGCCCCAAUUUUAUACAUACAAUUGUUGCGGCUUGUAAAAAUAUAUAGAAAAAACAACACAAAGAAGGGAUAUCGAGCAGAAUUCGAAUCAAGCAAUGACUGUAAUCUAAACGAAAAAUUCAAAAACAUAUUACUAAUUAGCUAAGAGAGGGAAAGAGAAAUUCCGGCGUGGGACGUGGCCAUGACUCGCGAGGGAGCCGUGGUGGCUUCGGCGCUGCAGGCUGCAGCGUCAGUCGUCGACCCGCAUUCUCCGGCCUGCCGGUUGCCGCUGCUUCGCGUACGCAUUUGCCGGCCGCCCACCCAUCAGGAACGGAUCGAUUCGAUCAAUAGAUCGUCGCCGCUGCGCAUAGAUUUGCUCGCCUCGCUUGCUCGGGGGCAGAAUACAUGAGAUGAGGAGACUGAUAGAGAUCUCUUUUUCUUUUAGUGGAGAAAAAUCUGGGAUUGGGAAGAUGGAUCGCUAGUUUGUUAGACCAUCUCCAGCCGCGUCCCCAACAGACCCUCUUCAAGCGUUUUUGCUGCGCCGGCGUCAAAAAAACUGCCCAGUCGCGUCCCCAGAAGCUCGUUUUUCGCCGGCUCGGGCCAAAACUGGUGCCGGCGGACCCAGGCCGAACCCGGCGCCCUGGGGGGGCGCUUGGGGAGCCGGCACAAGCGAAAAAGGCGCGUGGGUCCGCCCUGGCGGCGACCCGAGAGCCUUUUCCCGCCGUUUCUUAACGCUUUUCCCUCGAAUCCCUCCCGCUCGCUCGCCUUCCUCCCGCCAUUCCCUCCCUUUCUCCCACCAAAGCCCCUCCCGCUCGCCUUCCAGUCGCCGCCAUGCCGCCGAAGAAGUACGCCAUGCCGCGCGCGGCGGCAACCACGACUGGCACCGUGGCCCAGCCGAAGCAGGGGAAGCCGAGGGCGCCGCCAUUGAAGCCACCGGGCAUGUCGAACGCCGAGUGGAGGGUGGAAGUUCAGCGACGCGACGCAGUCACCGCCGACCGGCGGAACAGGGCCAUCGCCAAGAAGGCCCGCGACAACGCGGCGCGCGCGGCGGCGUCCUCCUCAUCGGUCGACCACGCGGGGAUGAUGAAUCCACCCGUCGUCAGCCACGCCCAGUACGCGUCCUGGGGACAGCAAGGCGUCGGAUCUCCAUGGGGAUCGUCGUCGCCCGGCUACGCCGACGGCGACGCGCACGGUGGGUUCAACCCAAACGUGACCUUCCCCCAUGGCCACCCCGCGACGCGCACACCCUCGCCCGCCUUCGUCGGCGUGCAGUACCCUCCAUACAACUACUCGCCGCCCGCCUACGCGUCCACACCGACGCCCCAUCUCCGCCGUGGACCGCUGUCCUUCUCGCACCUCGGUGACACCGACGACACAGGACCGACAUGGACGACAUCAUCGCGACAGGAUCGACCGCGGUGGCCGCGUCUCCCGGGUUCGCCACCCAGGACGAGGUAGUGGAUCUCAGCGGCGACAUGGAGGCCGAGCUCGGCUACGUCUACGGCGAGGACGCGCAUGAAGCGCAGGAACCCGAGGAGGAGAAGGAGGACGAGGAGGAGGAGGAGGAGGAGGAGCCGGCUCCUGAUCCGACGAAGGGGCGCUAGAAGAAGAAGCGGGCGGCUAGGCCAGGCGAACCGCGCAUCAAGUGGACGUCCAAGGAGGAGGAAUGUCUCGCCGAAGCAUGGAAAGUCGUCUGCCUCGACCCGACCACCGGCACGAACCAGAGCUUCGAGACGUACUGGGACCGCAUUAAGGCCGAGUUCGACGAGCUUCCCUACUUCAAAGGCGUCUACAUGCAGCGCGGCUCCAAGGCGAUGGCGAACCAUUGGGGGCGUAUCCAGGGGGCGUGCAACAAAUGACAUGGAAUCGUCGAGGAGGUCGCGGCUCGCCCGGAGAGCGGCGCCAGCGUUAAGGAUCAGGUACGCACGCCGUUCGCCCGCAUCUCUUCGUCGUCUACGCCCGCCACCCGCCAACUGUUUGUUCCUCCGCGCAGUUGAUGCGCAUGUUCACCAUGUAUCGGCGCGACAACCUCGACGCCGACUUCAAGUUCCUCCACGUCUACAAGCGCAUUGACAAGUGCGAGAAGUGGGCGGAAGUCCGACGUACCCUCGACAAGGCCAAGGAGACAUACAAGCCGGACGCGACGACUCCGGGCGCGUCAGAGGGGCGGCCGGACGACCAAAAAUUGGCAAAGAGGGGGAAAAACGCCGACGCGGCAACCGCGCAAGUGCAGGAGUCCAUCUAGCAUUGCCUCGCCGACGCCCAGGCCCGGGCCGUCCUACGUGAAGAGAAGACCGAGGCACGGUGGUUGUCGCUGAUGACGAACAGCGCCAUCAAGCUCUACCUGCUCCGGACCAACGUCGACCUGCUCCGGACGAACGUCGCCGCGAAGAAGAGAAACACCGACAUGGCUUUUCUGAUGGGCGGGGCGGACAUGCUCCAGAGCAACGACGAGUAGCUCAGGGCGUGGUACAUGGCGGAGUGCGGCCUCAUCCUGAACCAGAUGCAGACGGCAACGCCGACGACGCCGACGACGCCAGCUCCCGCGCCCACGGCCACACGGACGCCAAGCCCGAACGACGCCUCUACAUCGCCGCCCAGCAGUAGCGAAGCCGCGCCGACACAGCCCAGCACCGAAGCAGCUCCGACACCGCCGAGCCCGCGCACGCCGACUCCGCCAACGCCUGGAGCCGACCCCGCCGAGUGAUUCGUUGCGCAUGCGAACUUGCGACGUGUGGCACUCUGUUUUUUGUAACGCCAGACUACGUCCGAUCGCCGGAUUUGUGGCGUCUUUUGUGAGCGGGAACGACCUAGUUCAAAUUUUCCGCAUCCUGAGACCGGCGCUUGGGGGCGUGACUGGGAGUUAGGUCGUCUCCAGGGGCCGAACUAGUGCCGGCACGCCCCCAGGCCGCUCUAUUUAGGCGCCCUAGGGGGCCGAACGGCUGGAGAUGCCCUUAUAGACUUACAGGAGAAGGGAGAUGGAUAACAGAAAUACGAUUGGUUGUGUGCUGGUGUGCGUUUGAACGGAUCGAGGGUAUGCUGUACGUAACGUGGGUAGUGGGCUGUUCGAAGUGAAACCACGAGCCCGCGCGGGCUGGUUUCAUCGGACCUGUGGCACACUUGCUGGGCCACCCUGUUGCCAUGGGCCAAGUGACUGUUAAUUAGCACUAAAACAAUUCUUGGACCCUGUAGCUUGUGCUAUAGGGUUGGUCCAUUGGGCUCCGCCCCUGCCCUCAAGGUCAUGUAAAACAAUAUUAUAAUCAAUUAUUCAUAUUAAUCACGUGACACAUGGGUAAUCCACGGGCACAAACUCAAAGCCAUAACCUACUCACUAAUAUCGGGUUACCCAUGGAGCAUGGGCGUGACCCAUGGGCGGAGAGCACGACCCAUACCCUACCCAUUGGGAUGCCCAUGGACAGCCAUACCCAUGGGAUGAAUUGCUGGGUUGACAGGUGUUGCACUUCAACAGAUGUUAGUAUACCAACAUUCGAAAAAAUAUAAAACGUUGUUACUGUAGUGGGUGGUAAAACCAUAAAUCACCGGGGGAGGAAGUUGCGCGGAAGCUCGCGUGGGCGACGGAUGAGGCAAAACAAUAAAGCGCUGGCAGUGUUUGGCAGAGCCCCUUCUUAGUGCGGGUGCAGCUUGAUGAGGGGUGGUGUCGUCGCCUAGCUUGGAAUGGCAAUGCGCGUAGCAACCACGCAGCGCUCCACCCUUUCCAUAUCGAUGCCGCGGCAAAGCAUCCGACGCGAGCUGCCUGCUAUACGUACAUUACUACCAGACGUGAGCUCGCGCUGGUCCUUUCCUUGGUGACUAGACUAGUUCGUUCCAGCGCCGCGAGACUCUCCUCGGCUCCUCCUCCUAGUCUCCACCACUGCCAUCCCGGAGCUGCCAACUCCCAUGGCGCUCUCCCGCCGCCUUCUCCUCUUCCUCUCCCUCGUCGCCAUCACGGCGGUCACCGGCACCUCCGAGAUCAUCGUGACCAGGUGCUACCCGCCGCCGACGCCCACUGUCAACGGCAGCACCAGCGCGUUCCGGCGCGAUCUCCUCUCGCUGCUCGACGCCGUCCCCUCGGCCACCGCGCGGACGGGCUUCGCCUCCAUGCGGACCGGCGGCGCGUUCGCCCGCGGCCUCUGCUUCGGCGACCCCGCGCCAGACCCGUGCUUCCGCUGCCUGUCUGACGCCGGCGGGAAGAUCACCGACCUGUGCGGACACGCCAACCGGCGCGCGGGCUUCCUGACCGACGGCUGCUUCCUGGGCUACUCCGACGCCAACGCGUCCUCCGCCGGCGCGGACGACGACGACAUCAGUGGCGUGACAUUCUCCGGCGACGCCGUCCCACGCAUCGACAACGUCGACGUGCUGAAGCUCGUUGCCGUGGCGCGGUCCCUGGUCCCGCGGUCCGCGAACGGCCAGGUGGCCGCCGCCGACGCGACUGCCACGGCGAGCAACGGCUACACGGUGCGCAUGCUGGCACAGUGCGCGACGGACAGCGCCCCGGCGGAGUGCGCCCGGUGCCUGCGGGAUUCGUCGCUGCAGAUGGCCAAGAGCUGGAGUCUCACGCUCACCGCCGGCGUCGACGUGCAAGGAAGCGUGGCCGCGGUUCUCGGCCCGAACUGCUACCUCCGCUUCGAGAUAUCGGCACCGCCGCUGCCCGUGAGAGAGAAGAUUCGUGAGUAUUGCUACAUUGCUACAGUACAUAGUAACUCCGGCCGGUAGAUCUCAUGGUGAUUCUAUCUCUAACUUGUGAUGCGCUGCGCUGCAGGGAGGAUCGUAAAGGAUAACCUCGUCCUGACUGUGUGCAUUGGCUUCAUCGUCGCCGGGGUUAUCAUCCUGCUGCUAGUUCAUGUCUGCCGCCUGGUGACGAGGAAGCUCGGGAAUGCUGCAGCCGCACCAGGUAUGUACUAUGUACUACCCACGUUUCCGCCUCGUUGUUAAGAAAUAUACAUCCGCAAUCUUAAGUCUUAACACAACUAUCUUAUCUCCAGCGGCAGAAGGGAAGCCAUGAUCUGACCGGUAAGAAGGAAGAAGACCGAAUAAAAGCAAGGAACCAUCUACAGGACAUGAGAGGGCUCGGGCGUUACCAACUUCCUGCAGGAACACAUAGCUAGCUAGGGUAGUGUUGAACUGUUAUGUUGGUCUGUCAUAUGCAUUUGGAUGCUUGGUACUCCAUUUUACUACUGCUCUGUUCCGUGAUCUUCCACUAAUCUUCUUCGUGAUUGUGGAGCGAUCCCGGUCGUUUGGCGCGAUCCUAUGUGUGUGUGGAAACCUAAUGCUGAUCUUUAUAAGAUCUUUAGCAGAUGUUGAUCUCUUCUUUUCUCUGUAGUUGCCUACCUAGCUAGCUCGAUGUGCAUUCAGUUGUUUUCACGCAUGAGCUUGUUUUGAAAGGUUAUAGGCAUGUUUAGCUAGUUCUCUC
rnacentral:lncRNA from 1 species